AAAAAAAAAUUUUUUUUUAAAUAAAAUUGGAACUAUACAGAGAAGAUUAGCAUGACCCCUGUGCAAGGAUGACACACUUUAUGAUGCAGUCCCUAUUUUUUUU